AUAUAUUUUCAUUAUAAAUAACAAAUAUAGUUUAAAUAGGUAAAAUAUUAAUUUUCCAUAUUAAAGAUAUGGAUUCAAAUUCCAUUAUUUGUA
rnacentral:tRNA from 1 species